CUAUCCGUUCUCUCUAUAUAUAUACACACACUUCCUAUCUCCUCUAAAUCUGAACCUUUCUUCUCUCCUAAAUUCUUUUUUUCUCUGUCAAAUGUGGGUUGCACUAGUAGUAAGCAUCCUCCACUUCCAACUAAGAGGUUAUGAGUUCGAGUCACCCCAAAAGUAAGGUGGGGAAUUCUUGGAGGAAGGGAGCCGGAAGUCUAUCGGAAACAGCCUCUUUAUUCAGGGUAGGGGCGAUUAUGGACUUUUUUACUGAUAUUUCCAUUUUAUUGGUGUGAAUGAACUCGCUUGCCAUUUCCUAGGUAAAUUUGAGGAAUCAAUAGAGCAGCAACGAUAAGCUAAAACCGAUAUUGAUCAAACCAAGGUGCAGUUGGAGUAGUGGCAAGAGAGAAAGGAUAAGAUUGUGCGGCCUCGGGCAAAAUACUGCUAACAUGAUCAGAUUCAUAGAGAAUUACGUAUUGUAAAUAUUUGAAAUUUUGAAUAUAUAAUUAUGUGUAACUUGGAACCGAUUUUGGAAUCUGAAAGAUUU